CUCAGAGUUUCCAGAUUUCUGGACAAAGAAGAGGAGGAAAUUAUGGCAGCAGAAAAAUCUAUGCAAAUAAAUCCUCAGUAAUGAGAGGGAAGGAGGAAGUGCUGUAUUGUCUUCAUCAAACACAGUCAUGGCUGGCUCUGAGUGACAGGGAGGAGGACUCAAUAUCUAGAGGUUCCUUGUGACCAACAUUUUUAUGCGUCUAACUAAAGGUGCCUGGGAAAAUAAAUCAUGUGAGAAUUUCAGUACUGGCUGCUGCAGAGCCCAGAGGAGGCUUGGACAAUGCUUUGGAAAAGUGGUGUUGUGGAAAAUAUUACAGUGUUGUGGAAG